rnacentral:rRNA from 1 species
AACGAACGCUGGCGGCGUACUUAACACAUGCAAGUCGGACGAGAAAGGAGACCUCGGUCUCUGAGUAUAGUGGCGCACGGGUGCGUAACACGUAAGUAAUCUGCCCCGAACUCCGGGAUAACCCUCCGAAAGGAGGGCUAAUACUGGAUAGGGUCCCCGGGGUAUAGGCUGCGGGGGGAAAGUGGGCCUCUGAUAUAUGCUCACGGUUCGGGAUGAGCUUGCGGCCCAUUAGCUUGUUGGUAGGGUAAUAGCCUACCAAGGCAACGAUGGGUAGCUGGUCUGAGAGGAUGAUCAGCCACACUGGCACUGAGACACGGGCCAGACUCCUACGGGAGGCAGCAGUGGGGAAUUUUGCGCAAUGGGCGAAAGCCUGACGCAGUAACGCCGCGUGGAGGAUGAAGGCCUUCGGGUUGUAAACUCCUGUCAGGGGGAACGACGAGGAAGGGAUGACAAAUCCCUUUUUUCAGACGGUACCUCCAAAGGAAGCCCCGGCUAAUUCCGUGCCAGCCGCCGCCGUAAUAC